AAAAAAAAAUUGGACUGGAUUGAAAUGCAGCAUGAAUCAUAAGAGAAGUUUAGAAGCACAUGAAGAUGAAUGGGUCCCCAGUGACUCAACAGAGAACAUCUGGUGGAUCACAGAGUGGAACUGUAAACUGGAGAGGAUCCAUGGCAUGAGAGAUACAUAAACUGUCCUUUGAUGCUGCACAAUGCUUCGCCUGACUUCUACUCCAAAUCAGAUGUUGUGAAGGCCUGGGUCUCAAUAAUAAGGACAGAUCUUCAAACACUUCAGCAACAGAGAAAUCUGUAAAUUGAGUUCAUCCUUGUUGUCCCAACAAUGAAUAAAAGUUUUCAAGUACACCUAAAUAUCAUCCAACACCUGAGAGGAGGUCAUCGAGGAGACAAAGUCAAGCUCAUCACAGUGGAAAAUCAAGAGAUUAUGGACAUGUGUUGAAACAAGAAAUUGUUAAAGGGGAUGUGAGGGAAAGCUUUUUCACCAUAAGGACAGUAGAACAGAGGAAGAGGCUGCCCAGUGAGGAUGUUAGUUUUCCAUCUUUGGAAGUUUUUCAAAAGCCAUCUGGAUUAUAAACCCCAGAGUUCACCUAAUUUGAAUAGAAGGUUGGAAAAGAAACUUUCUGAGGUCUCUUCUGAACUGAAUUUUCUUGUGAUCAUCUACUAUACUAUAUCAUAUCCCAGUUAAUUUUCUCUUUUCCAGAGAGAUAAGUCCGUCCUUACACAUAAAUGAUUGUAUACCUUUGAUCAUUUUAGUUAUACUUCCAUGUUUUACUAUGCCCUUUCUGAUACAGGGCAGUAAGAUGCACGUGGUUUCCAAGAGAGCAUGCACUGCAAAUUAAUGCUAUGUUUAGUGAUAUUAACUGCUUUGCCUUGUAGAUGGCACUUCACUUUUGAUUUGAUAUUUUCAUAGGAUAUAUACAAUAAUACAAAAGCUGUCUGCAGGUGAAGGCCUGUCAAGCAGUUUCAGUAAAUUUAUAUCCCACCAUUUUGUAAUUGUGAUUAAAUUUGGAUUUGCCUGUACGUAUUUCUUUGUGUAUAUUGAAUCCGUUUCCCAUUUAUCCAAUAUUAUCCUACAGUACUUUCAGUCCAUAUAGUUUUGAACUAUUCUGAAUAUUUUUGUAUCAUCAGAAAGCUUCAUUACAGAGUGAAAAAUAAAAAAUAAUAUACUUUAGUUUCAUGCUAUACUGUUACCUGUUUUAAAGGCACCUUAAAAUUUCCUAGAAAGUAAAUUCACUGAAAAGGAUGUAGAUCGAACAAGAAUGAACACUGAUUAUUAUUUUUUUUAACAAACACCUAUGCUUCUCAUGUUUUAAAUACUUAAUUGUUAAGGUUUUAGAUCUAACUUGCCACGUCUUAGGUCAGUUUCUUUUUAUGAAUGUUUAAUUGAACAUGUGUUCCAUUUCUACAGGAUGGCUCUUGUGGUAGACUUUUUCACUCUGAUUCUUAACCAUGAUGUUGCUAUAUUAUUUCUUCCAAGGUCAUUUGAAUUGACAGAAUAUGUCUAUUUACAGCGUCUACUGUAAUGUCUCCAUACUUUUUGGUUGCUCCUAAUGACUUUCCAUUAAUAAAGUUUCCAGAGUAAUUUAGUGAUUAUAUAUAUCUCAGGAUGAACUCAAGAAUUCUAAAGCUUCUUCUUUUAUGUAUUCAUUUAUUUUUUAUGUAUUCAUUGAUUUGAAAUCACCUAUGGCAUAGGAACUCAUGACACAGACUGAAAUCUUUUUGUUUUCGCGGUCUUUCCAGUGCAGUAGCUGUACAGCUAGUUGCAUAAACUUCUUAUUGAAACUGUGAUGGCUACUGAAGAAGAAGGUUGAAAGAUUUAAGCUCCUGGGAAAAUCUGGCUACUUUUCAAAAGGAGCCAUGUUAAGACUGUGUGCACCAUUUUGAUCUCUCAGUGGUUCCUGAUGCCCUAUGAAACUGACAUUUCUGCAUUAAAGGCUUAUGUUUAAGACUAGUGGCAUAAUGCAGCAAACAAUGUGUAAACACUAUAUUGUUUGGGUUUUCUUGUUUCUAUUUUUUUUUCUGACUGAAGAUCUGAAACCAUUUAGUUGUUUUUGGAGCCCAAAAUGGUGACACCAGAAUAUAGGACCCAGAGUUACAAGGAGUCAAGAGAAAAACAGCAGGGAAACCAAAAAUUAUUUUUGAAAUUUCAUGUACAGAAAUUACAUCUUUGCUCAGAAAUGAAUUUUCCAGUGUUUUCAGCUACACUUAUCAGAAUGUGUUUGUAUUCUGACUAUGGAAACGGAAUGCCAUUACUGAGUAUGCAGGUAAAUGUAUGCUAGUGGAAGAGUUGCAAGGGCGAGAAGGCACAUGUAUGUUAUAUUGCUAAAGUAUAAGAAGUAACUACCACGUUGUCCUGGACUGUAAAAAAUAGCCUGUUGAAAAGAUGAAAAAAAUGACUGUAGUGAAGUGGAGCUGAAUAUCUUUCCUUCCAAACCACAGGAAUAAAAAUCGGCCUACCAAGGAAAGUUUAUUCAAGAUGAAUGAGUCUUGCAAAACGAUGUGAAUCAGAGUCUGCAAAGCCACCCAGCACUGUGGUAGCCUGCAUCUAUGGACUACACAUUACAUAUUUAUAUAGGUUUUAUGGAGACCAUACUGAAAAGAAGCAAGCCAAUAGGAGAACAGUGAAAGGAGAAUGUCAUCUGGUUCCUAUUAAUGACUGAGGUCAUUUUUGCGCUGAACUCUAUAGCAGUUAAGCCAAGUAAAGAAACCCAAGACUUUCAGGUUAUGAUGCACUAUUACCAAAACCUGACUAGAGUAGUAAAUGAAAUUUGUACUUAGAUUCAGGUCUGUCAAAUUGUUGGCUGAACUGAAAGCUAAGCCAGAGCCUGAGAGAACACUUUCUUACUUCUUUAAGAGAUGUAUGAUAAAAGUCAAUUUGCAUAACAACCAGGUUUUAAUCCUCCUGAGCUGGAAUAGAGGUAGUUAGGGUAUUGAUUGAAGGGGUCAGAAAGGUAUGAAUACCACUGUCAUAUAGAUGGCAGCAGGUGAAAAAUAACAAAAAAAAAAGAUAGAAAGUGGAAAAACUUUCGAGAGUAGAAAUGGUGAAAAUGGUCCCAUGCUAGGAAUGGAUAAUGCAUAUGUUUUUGUGAAAGGAAGACAGACACACCUGUAUGUUAUUAGCUGUUCCUGAAAGAGAGAUCAGUCUGUUUCUUGUACCUCUUAAAAAUUAACUUGUCAUUAAUAACAAAUUGAGAGGUAGAGAUGCAAGGUUACCAUGAGACAACCUUUGCACAUCUGGUUACCAUAGGUCCUUAGGGAAUACCACUCGGCCAAGUGUGCUGGCACCAAUGCUAGAAAGACUGACAACUAUACUCUGUACAUUUAUAUCCAUGACCUUGUGCUUUAUACACUUCUGAGCUAUUAAUUUACUGCUGGUGUUGUCUAAAGACAAUGUGUGUCAGCAGUCUAAAAUAUCAUUGGUUCUAAUUGCUACAAACCACCCUGGAAGCACGCUUUUGAUGUAUAUUAUUUCACUUGGCUAAUGUGUACAACUGAACUUUUAGACUUUUUUAGUGGCUUGUGUUGUUUUUUUUCUUUAGCUUUGACACUUUUUAUCUAUCUAAAAUGAUAAUUGUAGCAGGGUAAGCUUUGCUGCUAUUUUAAUUUUCGUGUCUUUACCUUUUCUGAAUUUAAUGAGUUUAAGCAGGUGAUUUUGUUGGCAGACUUUGGCAUUGUUAUUGUGAACAUUUUGAUUGAGACUAGUCUUUUUUAACUAAUUAUGUCUGACAAAUAUUCUUGUCCUCAGUGAUCUUUUGGGAAGUCAAGGAAUUGAUUCUUUUGCUACAUUAAACAUCUAAGCCUGG